GUGCUCGUGAGUAGUCGCUGGCCUGAAAAAUGGCGAGAGGAAAGUCCGGGCAGCGCAGGGUAGGAUAGUUGCUAACGGCAACCGCGCGUAAGCGUAGGAAAAGUGCCACAGAAACAAAACCGCCACUUUGUGGUAAGGGUGAAAAGAGUGGGGUAAGAGCCCACAGGGCACGGUAGUGAUAUCGGGCCAGGGUAAACUCUAUCCGCUGCAAGGAGACCUAGAUACUGUGACCCGCAGAUGGUCGAUCACCGCUUGAGCGCAUGAGCAAUCGUGCGCCUAGAUAGAUGACUACUAGCUUCGAUUUAUCGGAGCGAGACAAAACCCGGCUUAUUGAUCGAGCAACAGA
rnacentral:RNase_P_RNA from 1 species